AGCUCCAAUAGCGUAUAUUAAAGUUGUUGCAGUUAAAAAGCUCGUAGUUGAAUUUCUGUCUAGGAAAACCGGAGCAGCCUAAGGUUGUCUUCUGGCUUAAUCUAGACAUUUUUCCAGGGAACGCACUGUACUUAAUUGUAUGGUGUGGGAUCUGGAACUUUUACUUUGAGAAAAUUAGAGUGUUUCAAGCAAGCUAUCGCUUUGAAUACUGCAGCAUGGAAUAAUAUGAUAAGACUUUGGUCUUAUUUGUUGGUUUCUAAGACUGAAGUAAUGAUUGAUAGGGACAGUUGGGGGCAUUCGUAUUUAACUGUCAGAGGUGAAAUUCUUGGAUUUGUUAAAGACGAACUACUGCGAAAGCAUUUGCCAGGGAUGUUUUCA
rnacentral:rRNA from 1 species